rnacentral:rRNA from 1 species
AGAGUUUGAUCCUGGCUCAGAUUGAACGCUGGCGGCAUGCCUUACACAUGCAAGUCGAACGGCAGCACGGGUGCUUGCACCUGGUGGCGAGUGGCGAACGGGUGAGUAAUACAUCGGAACAUGUCCUGUAGUGGGGGAUAGCCCGGCGAAAGCCGGAUUAAUACCGCAUACGAUCUAUGGAUGAAAGCGGGGGACCUUCGGGCCUCGCGCUAUAGGGUUGGCCGAUGGCUGAUUAGCUAGUUGGUGGGGUACAGGCCUACCAAGGCGACGAUCAAUAGCUGGUCUGAGAGGACGACCAGCCACACUGGGACUGAGACACGGCCCAGACUCCUACGGGAGGCAGCAGUGGGGAAUUUUGGACAAUGGGCGAAAGCCUGAUCCAGCAAUGCCGCGUGUGUGAAGAAGGCCUUCGGGUUGUAAAGCACUUUUGUCCGGAAAGAAAUCCUUGGCUCUAAUACAGUCGGGGGAUGACGGUACCGGAAGAAUAAGCACCGGCUAACUACGUGCCAGCAGCCGCGGUAAUACGUAGGGUGCAAGCGUUAAUCGGAAUUACUGGGCGUAAAGCGUGCGCAGGCGGUUUGCUAAGACCGAUGUGAAAUCCCCGGGCUCAACCUGGGAACUGCAUUGGUGACUGGCAGGCUAGAGUAUGGCAGAGGGGGGUAGAAUUCCACGUGUAGCAGUGAAAUGCGUAGAGAUGUGGAGGAAUACCGAUGGCGAAGGCAGCCCCCUGGGCCAAUACUGACGCUCAUGCACGAAAGCGUGGGGAGCAAACAGGAUUAGAUACCC